ensembl:lncRNA
GCUGUGUGUCUGAGCACUGCCGUCCAUCACCAGGCAGGGCUCUGGGAUCGAAGCAAAGCAACCCAGGUUCUGCAGGGUGGGGGGCACAGCGUGGGCUGACAGCUCGGGGUGAGCUGUCUGAAGUGCUUUGUCCUUAAAGCACACAUUUAAGGGCAGACCUCCUGCUGCUGGGGAUGGGGCCAAGCCCCUGGCUGCCACCCAGCUCCCUCUGGCCAGCGCCUGUUCUGGCUCCUUAUGCCGCAUUUUCACCCAGGGUAGUGCCAAACCACUCCUUCACGAUGGGGACAGCACAGCCUGGGAGAGCCUCUGUUCCAACUUGGGGGGGAGAGCGGGGGGAUCAGCCGGGCUGGGGGGGGGCAUGGGAGUGAUGCCAGCAUGGGUCAGUGCCACUUGUCAUCGCCUCGCUGCCAGCAAGCUUUGUGCCGGGGUGGUCAGAGCCCGAGCUGUGACGUUAGAGCCCAACUCCCUCCUAUCUGGGCAUGAAGCAGAGCAAAGCCCUGCGGGAGGAGAGGAGCUGCAGCUGCUCAGGUGGUAUGUGGCAAGGAGUAACCCAACACAGCCUCCUGCAACGAGAUACAGCAUCAGACAUUUAAAAGGAAUAGCUUUGAUGCCGGCUGUCAGCAAAAAAUGCAGGCAGAAAACGCGUGCCUUCAGCUGCUGCCACGCACAGAGCAGCAAGAGCCCCAUCCCAACGUCCUGCUGAGCACAGAGGGCCUCUUAAUGGGCGAAGAGGAGGUGAAACGCACAGCAGAGCGGUGGGGAUCUCCCCAGCUUGGAGGGCCCACUCCCAAAGGAGCACAGCACGGAUGGGGACGUGUCUCCUUUUGCUCCAUCCACCCAUUCCCAGUGCAGCCAUACAGGAAGAAGAGCAGUCACCCCACAGAGCUGACCCGGACAGGCAAAGCACUGAGCCCUUGGGCACGGCACACAUCCUCAGCCUGACUCAUUGCCAGGUUUAUUGCCUUUGCAGGAAGGCUGCUAUCUGAGCCAUAAAAUGAUUUGCAGAAUCUUCAAAAGCUUAUAAAGGCAGUGAUUGAUACGCUCAUCUGCUGGCCACUUCCUGUCUUUAAAAGUCUGGCUUGUAAUCAGAGCAUCUCAAAAUAAAAAGAAAGAAAAAGCCAUGUAAACACUCUGCUCGAUGUUUUCACAGCUUUCUGCUGGCACCGGCGGGCUCUGCUCCUUCCUGCAGCCAUGGGCCUGUCUGGUUAACUCGUGAGCAUCCAGAGGGACAGCUGUUCCCCAGGCCCAGCCGUGCACCAUGGGCUGUUUCUAUUUGCUGCUACUCCUGUGCCACCCAUACGCAGCCCUCCGACUCCUGCUUCUCCUUUUCCUCCCCCUCUCCUCCUCUAUUUGUGGGUAAUAUCCCAUAGUCCCAUCCCUGUGCUUGCUGGGCACCCCAUGCUCCGCGUCACCCACACGUUGGUGGAAGGCAAGCCGUGCAAACACCAUGGGGAUGGCACAGGAGGUGCUCUGCAGAAAGAUGUUAGGCCCUAAAUACAGCAGGGGCUUCACAGCAGCAAACCCCACAGCACUACGAUGGGCCGCCCCACGGCGAUGCUCCCAGUGCAGCCCAGUAAGGAUGGGAGAGGGGGAGGGGAGGCACUGGUUUGCUUUCUGCUGGAGCAAGUUCACAGAUGAAAAGAAAGCAGUGAAGACCUCUCGUGGGCCGUGGGUGGCAGAGCAAGCUGGCUGCGCUACGGCUAUUUAUGCCUCAGGGCUGCCAUGGAUUUAUAUCUUUGUCAUUAAGUAUUGCAAAGAGAAAAAGAAGAAGGCAAACGCUCGUCCCUUUCUGAAGUCACAAAGUCAGAGGAUCGCUGACUCAAGCACCAAAAGUCCCCGAGCAGCUCUGCUCGUGCAGAUUUAGAAUCAGCCCCAGCCAACCUACGAGAAUAAUUAUUUCUCCUCUCCGCUGUGCUAUUUAAAGUGCAAUGAAGUACAGAGGCACUGUGUGGUGUGCGGAAGAGUUAUGCUCUCACGCGGCGAGGCGCUGUGCAGGUAAAUCAGCCCAGCCCCGCUCCCCUGAGGCCGUGGGUUGGUUCAGCACUGCAGCAAGGAUGGCGCAAAGCCAUUGGGGUGGCCAUGCACGAGCAGGCAGCCCCCGGGGCCAGCAUCUCCCCUGCACCCCCCCAGCACGCUUCCCUCUGUACCCCUCCCUUGCAUCAAACCAAAGCAGGGGUGGGAUUCUGUUAAAGAAAAAAGAGCACUCAAAUCCCACCCCAUCCCCUUUUGUUGUUGUUGUUUUGGUCCUACAAUAUUUUAUGGCUCAUUGUUGGCUUUCUUGUCUUCUUAUAAUGCAUAAAAGCGGCCCUGCUUGCCAUGCUUGGCUUCACCUCAAGUUCAGUAAAUCGAGGUAUUUAAUUAAACACAGCAAUUUAUCGGCUCUCAGCCCAGUUCAUAAGAAACUCACGCAUCAUUUGAGCAGGAUUUUCAUAUACUUCACUUGGAAAAAGUACAGAGCCAGCUUUAACAGCACAAAAUACUGAUUUUUGGCAACACAAAGAACCACUUCUCCUCCACAAGCACUUUGCUGCCCCCCAUCAAUGCCUGCCAGCUGCCCCAUACAUGCAGGGUAAACCUACGCUUGGCCUGGAUUACUCAACAAGAAUAAAGAUGUUCUGUGACACACCAGCAGAAAUCCUUGGGAACAGACCUGGGGUCACCCAGAAGGUGUUCCAGAACCACAGAGAUGUGGCACUGAGGGACAUGGUCAGUGG